CGGGGUGCACCAGGCGCGAAAACUUCACAAUGGGAGAAAUCCCGAUGAGGGAAUUCCAAGUGCUAGCACUAUGUGUUAGCUGUUCUUUUGUCUAAAAAACAGAAGAAGUAAGGGCCGGGUAAGACGGGUGCCAGCCGCCGCGGUAAUACCCGCGGCCCGAGUGGUGGUCGAUAUUAUUGAGCCUAAAACGUCCGUAGCCGGUCUUGUAAAUCCUUGGGUAAAUCGGCCAGCUUAACUGUCCGAAGUCCGGGGAGACUGCAAGACUUGGGAUCGGGAGAGGUCAGAGGUACUUCUGGGGUAGGGGUAAAAUCCUGUAAUCCUGGAAGGACCACCGGUGGCGAAGGCGUCUGACUAGAACGAAUUCGACGGUGAGGGACGAAGCCCUGGGGCGCAAACGGGAUUAGAUACCCCGGUAGUCCAGGGUGUAAACGCUGCGGGCUUGGUGUUGGGGGUCCUUUGUGGGCGCCCAGUGCCGGAGAGAAGUUGUUAAGCCUGCUGCUUGGGGAGUACGUCCGCAAGGAUGAAACUUAAAGGAAUUGGCGGGGGAGCACAAGGGCGAUUCGCGGCCGCA
rnacentral:rRNA from 1 species